GGUUGUGGCUCAGUGGUAGAGCACUCACUUAGCAUGCAUGAGGCACUGGGUUCGAUCAUCAGCACCG
rnacentral:tRNA from 1 species